rnacentral:rRNA from 1 species
CAAUAGCGUAUAUUAAAGUUGUUGCGGUUAAAAGCUCGUAGUUGGAUUUCUGCUGAGGACGACCGGUCCGCCCUCUGGGUGAGUAUCUGGUUCGGCCUGGGCAUCUUCUUGGAGAGCGUAGCUGCACUUGACUGUGUGGUGCGGUAUCCAGGACUUUUACUUUGAGGAAAUUAGAGUGUUCAAAGCAGGCAGCUCGCCUGAAUAAUGGUGCAUGGAAUAAUAGAAAAGGACCUCGGUUCUAUUUUGUUGGUUUCCGGAACUUGAGGUAAUGAUUAAGAGGGACAGACGGGGGCAUUCGUAUUACGGUGUUAGAGGUGAAAUUCUUGGAUCGCCGUAAGACGAACUACUGCGAAAGCAUUUGCCAAGAAUGUUUUCAUUAAUCAAGAACGAAAGUCAGAGGUUCGAAGACGAUCAGAUACCAU